GGUGGUUUAGAUCAGCUUGGAGAGCACCUCCCUUACAAGGAGGGGGUCGGCGGUUCGAUCCCGUCAUCACCCACCA
rnacentral:tRNA from 1 species